rnacentral:tRNA from 1 species
CAGAGAAUAGUUUAAUUAAAAUAUUAGUUUUGGGGACUGAUGAUGGAGUUUAUUACUUUUUCUCUGA